GAUGAACGCUGGCGGCGUGCCUAAUACAUGCAAGUCGAGCGAACAGACGAGGAUCUUGCUCCUCUGACGUUAGCGGCGGACGGGUGAGUAACACGUGGAUAACCUACCUAUAAGACUGGGAUAACUUCGGGAAACCGGAUCUAAUACCGGAUAAUAUAUUGAACCGCAUGGUUCAUUAGUGAAAGACGGUUUUGCUGACCCUUAUAGAUGGAUCCGCGCCGCAUUAGCUAGUUGGUAAGGUAACGGCUUACCAAGGCAACGAUGCGUAGCCGACCUGAGAGGGUGAUCGGCCACACUGGAACUGAGACACGGUCCAGACUCCUACGGGAGGCAGCAGUAGGGAAUCUUCCGCAAUGGGCGAAAGCCUGACGGAGCAACGCCGCGUGAGUGAUGAAGGUCUUCGGAUCGUAAAACUCUGUUAUUAGGGAAGAACAAAUGUGUAAGUAACUAUGCACGUCUUGACGGUACCUAAUCAGAAAGCCACGGCUAACUACGUG
rnacentral:rRNA from 1 species